rnacentral:rRNA from 1 species
GAUGAACGCUGGCGGCGUGCCUAAUACAUGCAAGUCGAGCGAACGGACGCGAAGCUUGCUUCUCUGAUGUUAACGGCGGACGGGUGAGUAACACGUGGAUAACCUACCUCUAAGACUGGGAGAACUUCGGGAAACCGUAGCUAAUACCGGAUAAUAUUUUGAACCGCAUGGUUCCAAAGUGAAAGAGGGUCUUGCUGUCACUUAUUGAUGGCUUGCCGCUGCAUUAGCUAGUUGGUAAGGUAACGGCUUGCCAAGGCAACGAUGGAUAGCCGACCUGACAGGGGGAUCCGCCACACUGGAAGUGAGACCGGGUCCAGACUCCUGGGGGAGGACGCAGUAGGGAAUCUUCCGCGAUGGGGGAAAGCGUGAUAGAGCAACGCGGCGGGAGGGAUGAAGGACUUCGGAUGGUAAAACGCUGUUAGUAGGGAGGAACAUAAGUGUAAGUAGCUGUGCAGAUCAUGACGGUACCUGAUCAAGAAGCCACGGCUAACUACGUG